GCAUGAAGGAAACAAAUGCGCGAACGCAGUAGUUUGAGUCGUCAUGCCGUUAUGAAGAGAUCGCGUGUCAUUUUUUUGCGAUGUAAUUGUGUCGCAUUACCAGUACUCACCUACGGCGCAGAAACCUGGAUGCUUAUACGAAAAGGGUAGUACUUAAAUUGAGGACGACGCAAGCAGCUAUGGAAAGAAGAAUGAUGAUUGUAACGCUAAGGGAUAAGAAGAGAGCAGAUUGGGUGAAGGAACAAACGCGGGUUAAUAACAUCUUAGUUGAAAUCAAGAAAAAGAAAUGGGCAUGGGCAGGGCAUGUAAUGAGAAGGGCAGAUAACCGAUGGCCAUUAUGGUUUGCGGAAUGGAUUCCAAGAGAAGGGACGCGUAGCAGGGGGUGGCAGAAAGUUAGAUGGGCGGAUUAGAUUAAGAAGUUUGCAGGGACAAGAUGGCCGCAAUUAGCAUAUGACCGGGGUAGUUGGAGAUGUGUGGGAGAGGCCGUUGCCUUGCAGUGGACGUAGCCAGGCUCAUGAUGAUGAUGAUGAUGGCGAUGACGACGACGACGACGACGAUGAUGAUGAUGUGUCGUAUUUGCGUAAAUUCUUGACAAAGUUGGAAGGAUUUUGUUGGAAUUAACAUUCACGAAGUCCUACGGAACACACAACUACCUUUCAUAUUACAGUAGGCUCAUUAAUAACUUACAUUUUCAGUAAAAGCGACUAAGGCGCACUUCUACUGCAACAGUAAGUUAUUAAUGACACUAUCAGUCACCUUCUGUGCCACUGUUCUCGCUUCGAUAAUCAACGUGAGACUCUCCAGUGUGCCUUGAAUAGACUUGAUGACAGGCCAUUUACGGAAGCGAAGAUCUUGGGAGCCUGGCGUCACAGUUCAUUAGCGCAGAAAGCAGUUCGAGCGCUUUUUCAUUACCUGAAGGCAACAGACUUGAGUGCCCAACUAUAGACAUCCUACACUUAAGUUCUCUCUCUCUCUCUUUCACUCCCCAUUCACCUCCCCACGUGUAGGGUAGCAAACUGGACUCAGUCUGGUUAACCUCCCUGCUUUUCCUUCUUCCCUUCUCUCUCUCUCUACUGUUUCAGUCCCGCCGCAUCCAAGACGCGGCUAAAGAUGCAACAUUUUCUCAAGUGGCAGACAGCUACAUAGAACAGAUACAGUUCCUGCACGACAGUGUCGACCCCAACGGCAUGCGCCUAAGUGGGGCAGAGUUCUUCUACCUCGACAGGAGACUGCUCGUUUCGAUAGCCGGCUCAAUCAUUACAUACACCGUGAUCCUAGUGCAGACCAAUCAUGGCCUCACUUCACGAGCCCGGACUGACAUGAUGAAUAAAGGGACGUGAGCAGCCACCGGCAGCUCAUCACUAUGCGAGAAGACAGGACUAUUUUUAUAGUCGCAAUGUCGUACCGCUAGACCACCUUGAAUGGCUUUCCUGAACAUACAUCACCACGGAAACAAAAAAUAAAGCUCACAGAUUGGAAAAAUCGUACUCUUUUGAGACCAAAUUAAAGAAAGCGAAUGUACGUUCUGAAAGUGGCGACA